rnacentral:piRNA from 1 species
UCUCAGGCAUUAGAUGGAGCAUGCAACC